rnacentral:rRNA from 1 species
GAUGAACGCUGGCUACAGGCUUAACACAUGCAAGUCGAGGGGAAACGACGGGGAAGCUUGCUUCCCCGGGCGUCGACCGGCGCACGGGUGAGUAACGCGUAUCCAACCUGCCUCUGACUGAGGGAUAACCCGUCGAAAGUCGGCCUAAUACCUCAUGGCAUCGUCUGCGGGCAUCCAACGACGAUUAAAGAUUUCAUCGGUCAGAGAUGGGGAUGCGUCUGAUUAGCUUGUUGGCGGGGUAACGGCCCACCAAGGCGACGAUCAGUAGGGGUUCUGAGAGGAAGGUCCCCGACAUGGGAACUGGGACCCGGUCCAAACUCCUACGGGAGGCAGCAGUGAGGAAUAUUGGUCUAUGGGCGAGAGCAUGAACCAGCCAAGUAGCGUGCAGGAUGACGGCGCUAUGGGUUGUAAACUGCUUUUAUGCGGGGAUAAAGUGAGGGACGUGUCCUUCAUUGCAGGUACCGCAUGAAUAAGGACCGGCUAAUUCCGUG